rnacentral:rRNA from 1 species
AUUGAACGCUGGCGGCAUGCCUUACACAUGCAAGUCGAACGGCAGCACGGGUGCUUGCACCUGGUGGCGAGUGGCGAACGGGUGAGUAAUACAUCGGAACGUACCUUAUCGUGGGGGAUAACGCAGCGAAAGUUGCGCUAAUACCGCAUACGCCCUGAGGGGGAAAGCGUGGGACCGUAAGGCCUCUCGCGAUUAGAGCGGCCGAUGUCUGAUUAGCUUGUUGGUGAGGUAAAAGCUCACCAAGGCGAUGAUCAGUAGCUGGUCUGAGAGGACGAUCAGCCACACUGGAACUGAGACACGGCCCAGACUCCUACGGGAGGCAGCAGUGGGGAAUUUUGGACAAUGGGGGAAACCCUGGUCCAGCAAUGCGGCGUGAGUGAAGAAGGCCUUCGGGUUGUAAAGCUCUUUUGUCAGGGAAGAAACAGCAGCUCUAACACAGUCUGCGAAUGACGGUACCUGAAGAAUAAGCACCGGCUAACUACGUG